GAGGAUUGAGAAAUGAUGGUUGGACA
rnacentral:piRNA from 1 species